UACGUAGGGUGCAAGCGUUGUCCGGAAUUAUUGGGCGUAAAGAGCUCGUAGGCGGUCUGUCGCGUCGGAUGUGAAAAUCCAGGGCUCAACCCUGGACCUGCAUUCGAUACGGGCAGACUAGAGUUCGGUAGGGGAGACUGGAAUUCCUGGUGUAGCGGUGAAAUGCGCAGAUAUCAGGAGGAACACCGGUAGCGAAGGCGGGUCUCUGGGCCGAAACUGACGCUGAGGAGCGAAAGCGUGGGGAGCAAACAGG
rnacentral:rRNA from 1 species